rnacentral:rRNA from 1 species
UGAGGAAUAUUGGACAAUGGGCGCAAGCCUGAUCCAGCCAUGCCGCGUGCAGGAUGACGGUCCUAUGGAUUGUAAACUGCUUUUUGUACAGGAAGAAACAGUUCUACGUGUAGAACCUUGACGGUACUGUAGGAAUAAGGAUCGGCUAACUCCGUGCCAGCAGCCGCGGUAAUACGGAGGAUCCAAGCGUUAUCCGGAAUCAUUGGGUUUAAAGGGUCCGUAGGCGGUUAGAUAAGUCAGUGGUGAAAGCCCAUCGCUCAACGGUGGAACGGCCAUUGAUACUGUCUGACUUGAAUUAUUAGGAAGUAACUAGAAUAUGUAGUGUAGCGGUGAAAUGCUUAGAGAUUACAUGGAAUACCAAUUGCGAAGGCAGGUUACUACUAAUGGAUUGACGCUGAUGGACGAAAGCGUGGGUAGCGAACAGGAUUAGAUACCCAUGUAGUCCCUGAGCGGGCUGGCAAGGCGCAU